AGCAGCCGCGGUAAUUCCAGCUCCAAUAGCGUAUAUUAAAGUUGUUGCAGUUAAAAAGCUCGUAGUUGAAUUUCGGGAUCAAUUUAUUGGUCGUGCUAUUGUACGUACUGGUAUUAUUGAUUCCUACCUUCUGACGAACCAUGAUGUCAUUAAUUUGGUGUCAUGGGGAAUCAGGACUGUUACUUUGAAAAAUUAGAGUGUUUAAAGCAAGCUCACGCUUGAAUACAUUAGCAUGGAAUAACGAAAUAGGACGUUUGAUUCUAUUUUGUUGGUUUCUAGGAUCGACGUAAUGAUUAAUAGGGAUAGUUGGGGGCAUUAGUAUUCAAUUGUCAGAGGUGAAAUUCUUGGAUUUUUUUAUGAAGACUAACUACUGCGAAAGCAUUUGCCAAGGAUGUUUUCAUUAAUCAAGAACGAAAGUUAGGGGAUCGAAGACGAUCAGAUACCGUCGUA
rnacentral:rRNA from 1 species